rnacentral:rRNA from 1 species
AGCGCAUACGGUGGAUGCCUUGGCAGUCAGAGGCGAUGAAAGACGUGGUAGCCUGCGAAAAGCUUCGGGGAGUCGGCAAACAGACUUUGAUCCGGAGAUCUCUGAAUGGGGGAACCCACCUAGGAUAACCUAGGUAUCUUGUACUGAAUCCAUAGGUGCAAGAGGCGAACCAGGGGAACUGAAACAUCUAAGUACCCUGAGGAAAAGAAAUCAACCGAGAUUCCCUUAGUAGUGGCGAGCGAACGGGGAUUAGCCCUUAAGCUUCAUUGAUUUUAGCGGAACGCUCUGGAAAGUGCGGCCAUAGUGGGUGAUAGCCCCGUACGCGAAAGGAUCUUUGAAGUGAAAUCGAGUAGGACGGAGCACGAGAAACUUUGUCUGAACAUGGGGGGACCAUCCUCCAAGGCUAAAUACUACUGACUGACCGAUAGUGAACCAGUACCGUGAGGGAAAGGCGAAAAGAACCCCGGAGAGGGGAGUGAAAUAGAACCUGAAACCGUAUGCGUACAAGCAGUGGGAGCCUACUUGUUAGGUGACUGCGUACCUUUUGUAUAAUGGGUCAGCGACUUAUAUUCAGUGGCAAGCUUAACCGUAUAGGGUAGGCGUAGCGAAAGCGAGUCUUAAUAGGGCGUUUAGUCGCUGGGUAUAGACCCGAAACCGGGCGAUCUAUCCAUGAGCAGGUUGAAGGUUAGGUAACACUGACUGGAGGACCGAACCCACUCCCGUUGAAAAGGUAGGGGAUGACUUGUGGAUCGGAGUGAAAGGCUAAUCAAGCUCGGAGAUAGCUGGUUCUCCUCGAAAGCUAUUUAGGUAGCGCCUCAUGUAUCACUCUGGGGGGUAGAGCACUGUUUCGGCUAGGGGGUCAUCCCGACUUACCAAACCGAUGCAAACUCCGAAUACCCAGAAGUGCCGAGCAUGGGAGACACACGGCGGGUGCUAACGUCCGUCGUGAAAAGGGAAACAACCCAGACCGCCAGCUAAGGUCCCAAAGUUGUGGUUAAGUGGUAAACGAUGUGGGAAGGCUUAGACAGCUAGGAGGUUGGCUUAGAAGCAGCCACCCUUUAAAGAAAGCGUAAUAGCUCACUAGUCGAGUCGGCCUGCGCGGAAGAUGUAACGGGGCUCAAACCACACACCGAAGCUGCGGGUGUCACGCAAGUGACGCGGUAGAGGAGCGUUCUGUAAGCCUGUGAAGGUGAGUUGAGAAGCUUGCUGGAGGUAUCAGAAGUGCGAAUGCUGACAUGAGUAACGACAAUGGGUGUGAAAAACACCCACGCCGAAAGACCAAGGGUUCCUGCGCAACGUUAAUCGACGCAGGGUUAGUCGGUUCCUAAGGCGAGGCUGAAAAGCGUAGUCGAUGGGAAACAGGUUAAUAUUCCUGUACUUCUGGUUACUGCGAUGGAGGGACGGAGAAGGCUAGGCCAGCUUGGCGUUGGUUGUCCAAGUUUAAGGUGGUAGGCUGAAAUCUUAGGUAAAUCCGGGGUUUCAAGGCCGAGAGCUGAUGACGAGUCGUCUUUUAGAUGACGAAGUGGUUGAUGCCAUGCUUCCAAGAAAAGCUUCUAAGCUUCAGGUAACCAGGAACCGUACCCCAAACCGACACAGGUGGUCGGGUAGAGAAUACCAAGGCGCUUGAGAGAACUCGGGUGAAGGAACUAGGCAAAAUGGCACCGUAACUUCGGGAGAAGGUGCGCCGGCUAGGGUGAAGGAUUUACUCCGUAAGCUCUGGCUGGUCGAAGAUACCAGGCCGCUGCGACUGUUUAUUAAAAACACAGCACUCUGCAAACACGAAAGUGGACGUAUAGGGUGUGACGCCUGCCCGGUGCCGGAAGGUUAAUUGAUGGGGUUAGCGCAAGCGAAGCUCUUGAUCGAAGCCCCGGUAAACGGCGGCCGUAACUAUAACGGUCCUAAGGUAGCGAAAUUCCUUGUCGGGUAAGUUCCGACCUGCACGAAUGGCGUAACGAUGGCGGCGCUGUCUCCACCCGAGACUCAGUGAAAUUGAAAUCGCUGUGAAGAUGCAGUGUAUCCGCGGCUAGACGGAAAGACCCCGUGAACCUUUACUGUAGCUUUGCACUGGACUUUGAGCCUGCUUGUGUAGGAUAGGUGGGAGGCUUUGAAGCGUGGACGCCAGUUCGCGUGGAGCCAUCCUUGAAAUACCACCCUGGCAUGCUUGAGGUUCUAACU